rnacentral:rRNA from 1 species
GAGAAACGCUGGCGGCGCACAUAAGACAUGCAAGUCGAACGGAAUUUAGUCGAAUGUUUACAUGAGACGAAAAUUUAGUGGCGGACGGGUGAGUAACACGUGAGCAACCUGCCUUUAAGAGGGGGAUAACAUUGAGAAAUCAGUGCUAAUACCGCAUAAAGCUAUCAUACCGCAUGAUAAGAUAGCCAAAGGAGAAGUCCGCUUAAAGAUGGGCUCGCGGCUGAUUAGUUAGUUGGUGGGUAACGGCCUACCAAGACGAUGAUCAGUAGCCGAGCUGAGAGGCACAACGGCCACAUUGGGACUGAGACACGGCCCAGACUCCUACGGGAGGCAGCAGUCGGGAAUAUUGCACAAUGGAGGAAACUCUGAUGCAGUGACGCCGCGUAUAGGAAGAAGGUCUUUGGAUUGUAAACUAUUGUCGACAGGGAAGAAGAAAAUGACAGUACCUGUGGAGGAAGCUCCGGCUAACUACGUGCCAGCAG